rnacentral:ribozyme from 1 species
UGCCCACCAACUCCUAUCCCUACCUCCUCGUGGCACUGGCCGGGGUACGAAUAACCUUAGGGAAGAUCGGGUAACCAACCCCGGUGGGAACUUUGGUCGUAUGCUGACAGGAAAUG